CAGAGUUGGGGGACGGAGCGGACGACGUGUAAAGAGCGUCGGAGCUGCGACUCGCCUGAAAGGGAGCGAAGCUGGCCGAGCGAACUAGACUUUUUUUCAGGGACGCUUGGCGGCCGAGAGCGAGUGUUGCGAGACAACAAAAAGCUCGACCUCAAAUCAGGUAGGAAUACCCGCUGAACUUAAGCAUAUCAAUAAGCCGGAGGAAAAGAAACCAACAGGAUUGCCUCAGUAGCGGCGAGUGAAGCGGCAAGAGCUCAGAUUUGAAAUCGUGCUUUGCGGCACGAGUUGUAGAUUGCAGGUUGGAGUCUGUGUGGAAGGCGGUGUCCAAGUCCCUUGGAACAGGGCGCCCAGGAGGGUGAGAGCCCCGUGGGAUGCCGGCGGAAGCAGUGAGGCCCUUCUGACGAGUCGAGUUGUUUGGGAAUGCAGCUCCAAGCGGGUGGUAAAUUCCAUCUAAGGCUAAAUACUGGCGAGAGACCGAUAGCGAACAAGUACUGUGAAGGAAAGAUGAAAAGCACUUUGAAAAGAGAGUGAAACAGCACGUGAAAUUGUUGAAAGGGAAGGGUAUUGCGCCCGACAUGGGGAUUGCGCACCGCUGCCUCUCGUGGGCGGCGCUCUGGGCUUUCCCUGGGCCAGCAUCGGUUCUUGCUGCAGGAGAAGGGGUUCUGGAACGUGGCUCUUCGGAGUGUUAUAGCCAGGGCCAGAUGCUGCGUGCGGGGACCGAGGACUGCGGCCGUGUAGGUCACGGAUGCUGGCAGAACGGCGCAACACCGCCCGUCUUGAAACAUGGACCAAGGAGUCUAACGUCUAUGCGAGUGUUUGGGUGUGAAACCCGUACGCGUAAUGAAAGUGAACGUAGGUCGGACCCCUGCCCUCGG
rnacentral:rRNA from 1 species